GCGAGUGUAGCUCAGCUGGUUAGAGCGCUAGGUUGUGGUUCUAGAGGUCGCCGGUUCGAAACCGGUCAUUCGCC
rnacentral:tRNA from 1 species